GGACGCAUGGCCCAGUGGUAAGGCGCUCGCCUUCGAUACAGGAUGAGAAGCUUGCGCUUGGCAGCGAGAGAUCGUCGGUUCGACCCCGGCUGCGUUCA
rnacentral:tRNA from 2 species